rnacentral:rRNA from 1 species
CCUACGGGGGGCAGCAGUGGGGAAUAUUGGGCAAUGGGCGCAAGCCUGACCCAGCAACGCCGCGUGAAGGAAGAAGGCUUUCGGGUUGUAAACUUCUUUUAAGGGGGAAGAGCAGAAGACGGUACCCCUUGAAUAAGCCACGGCUAACUACGUGCCAGCAGCCGCGGUAAUACGUAGGUGGCAAGCGUUGUCCGGAUUUACUGGGUGUAAAGGGCGUGCAGCCGGAGAGACAAGUCAGAUGUGAAAUCCACGGGCUCAACCCGUGAACUGCAUUUGAAAUUGUUUCCCUUGAGUGUCGGAGAGGUAAUCGGAAUUCCUUGUGUAGCGGUGAAAUGCGUAGAUAUAAGGAAGAACACCAGUGGCGAAGGCGGAUUACUGGACGAUAACUGACGGUGAGGCGCGAAAGCGUGGGGAGCAAACAGGAUUAGAUACCCCUGUAGUC